AACUGGAGCGGACAGCGUUACCAUGGAAACCGGGCGGUAGCUCAACUGACAACAAGCAGCACAGCUCCACCUCUCGCUGUUGUUUUCACUACUUUCAGUAUUGUUAGCUCCAACCCCAAUUAAUCAGACCUGAGCAGCUGACUAAACAUCACCAGAAACUCUGCAGAGCCCUGGUCUGGUCUGGAUGCCACUGUUGCUAAAGCAUUUAAAGUAAAAACUUCAGUCGUGGCUUAAUAAUCCGGGGUUGGGAUGGUGGAAGGAGCAGAAGGAGCAGAAGAACCAGAAGAUCGGAGAUCAGGAAGAUAUCUAUUGGUGCCCCUGAGGGAACUGAUUUAAUGUGUAAAAUUUAACCAAAAGUGUUCGUCAUUCACCUUCAUGUCGUUGCAAACCUGUAAGACUUUCGUUCAUCUUUGAAAGAUAUUUUUAAUGAAAUCUGAGAGCUUUCUGUCCCUCAAUUUCACAGUUUAUGCUACUACCACUUUCAUGCUUCAGAAAGGUAAGACAUUAUAAAAAUAAUCAAUAGAGGGUUUGCACCUACGUCACGAUUUGGCCAGUUACCCGGAGUCAGUCAUUGGUGCAACCUGUAUCGGCGAUACAGAAUUUUGUUUUGUUUUUUGCACACACAAGGCAUCUGUUAAAAAUAUAUUCAAAAGUCUUAUGGGUUUUUAGCGACAUGAGAGUAAGUAUGUUUAUGUAAGUCUGUUUUAUAAACAUUUUCAAUGUUUUAAAGAUUUAUUGUUUUGAUGUUUAUAACAAUAAAUGAUAAAAUGAU